rnacentral:rRNA from 1 species
AUUGAACGCUGGCGGCAGGCCUAACACAUGCCAGUCGAGCGGAUGAAGGGAGCUUGCUCCUGGAUUCAGCGGCGGACGGGUGAGUAAUGCCUAGGAAUCUGCCUGGUAGUGGGGGAUAACGUCCGGAAACGGGCGCUAAUACCGCAUACGUCCUGAGGGAGAAAGUGGGGGAUCUUCGGACCUCACGCUAUCAGAUGAGCCUAGGUCGGAUUAGCGAGUUGGUGGGGUAAAGGCCUACCAAGGCGACGAUCCGUAACUGGUCUGAGAGGAUGAUCAGUCACACUGGAACUGAGACACGGUCCAGACUCCUACGGGAGGCAGCAGUGGGGAAUAUUGGGCAAUGGGCGAAAGCCUGAUCCAGCCAGGCCGCGUGUGUGAAGAAGGUCUUCGGAUUGUAAAGCACUUUAAGUUGGGAGGAAGGGCAGUAAGUUAAUACCUUGCUGUUUUGACGUUACCAACAGAAUAAGCACCGGCUAACUUCGUG